UGAGGUAGUAGGUUGUAUAGUUUUAGGGUCACACCCACCACUGGGAGAUAACUAUACAAUCUACUGUCUUACC
rnacentral:pre_miRNA from 2 species